UACGUAGGGGGCCAGCGUUGUCCGGAUUUAUUGGGCGUAAAGAGCGUGUAGGCGGCCAGGUAGGUCCGGUGUGAAAACUCGAGGCUCAACCUCGAGAUGUCAUCGGAAACCAUCUGGCUAGAGUCCGGAAGAGGAGAGUGGAAUUCCUGGUGUAGCGGUGAAAUGCGCAGAUAUCAGGAAGAACACCCGUGGCUAAGGCGGCUCGCUGGGACGGUACUGACGCUGAGACGCGAAAGCGUGGGGAGCGAACAGG
rnacentral:rRNA from 1 species